rnacentral:rRNA from 1 species
AUUGAACGCUGGCGGCAGGCCUAACACAUGCAAGUCGAACGAGUGGCGGACGGGUGAGUAAUGUCUGGGAAACUGCCCGAUGGAGGGGGAUAACUACUGGAACCGGUAGCUAAUACCGCAUACCAUCGGGUUUGCCCCGCUGGGAUUAGCUAGGAGGUGGGGUAACGGCUCACCUAGGCGACGAUCCCUAGCUGGGCUGGGAGGAUGACCGGCGACCCUGGAAAUGGGAAACGGUCCAGACUCCUACGGGAGGCAGCAGUGGGGAAUAUUGGACAAUGGGCGAAAGCCGGAUGCAGCAAUGCGGCGUGUAUGAAGAAGGCCUUCGGGUUGUAAAGUACUUUCAGCGAGGAGGCGUUACUCGCAGAAGAAGCACCGGCUAACUCCGUGCCAGCAGCCGCGGUAAUAC